rnacentral:rRNA from 1 species
AUGAACGCUAGCUACAGGCUUAACACAUGCAAGUCGAGGGGCAGCAUGGUCUUAGCUUGCUAAGGCCGAUGGCGACCGGCGCACGGGUGAGUAACACGUAUCCAACCUGCCGUCUACUCUUGGACAGCCUUCUGAAAGGAAGAUUAAUACAAGAUGGCAUCAUGAGUCCGCAUGUUCACAUGAUUAAAGGUAUUCCGGUAGACGAUGGGGAUGCGUUCCAUUAGAUAGUAGGCGGGGUAACGGCCCACCUAGUCUUCGAUGGAUAGGGGUUCUGAGAGGAAGGUCCCCCACAUUGGAACUGAGACACGGUCCAAACUCCUACGGGAGGCAGCAGUGAGGAAUAUUGGUCAAUGGGCGAGAGCCUGAACCAGCCAAGUAGCGUGAAGGAUGACUGCCCUAUGGGUUGUAAACUUCUUUUAUAAAGGAAUAAAGUCGGGUAUGGAUACCCGUUUGCAUGUACUUUAUGAAUAAGGAUCGGCUAACUCCGUGCCAGCAGCCGCGGUAAUACGGAGGAUCCGAGCGUUAUCCGGAUUUAUUGGGUUUAAAGGGAGCGUAGAUGGAUGUUUAAGUCAGUUGUGAAAGUUUGCGGCUCAACCGUAAAAUUGCAGUUGAUACUGGAUAUCUUGAGUGCAGUUGAGGCAGGCGGAAUUCGUGGUGUAGCGGUGAAAUGCUUAGAUAUCACGAAGAACUCCGAUUGCGAAGGCAGCCUGCUAAGCUGCAACUGACAUUGAGGCUCGAAAGUGUGGGUAUCAAACAGGAUUAGAUACCCUGGUAGUCCACACGGUAAACGAUGAAUACUCGCUGUUUGCGAUAUACAGCAAGCGGCCAAGCGAAAGCGUUAAGUAUUCCACCUGGGGAGUACGCCGGCAACGGUGAAACUCAAAGGAAUUGACGGGGGCCCGCACAAGCGGAGGAACGUGUGGUUUAAUUCGAUGAUACGCGAGGAACCUUACCCGGGCUUAAAUUGCAGAUGAAUUACGGUGAAAGCCGUAAGCCGCAAGGCAUCUGUGAAGGUGCUGCAUGGUUGUCGUCAGCUCGUGCCGUGAGGUGUCGGCUUAAGUGCCAUAACGAGCGCAACCCUUGUUGUCAGUUACUAACAGGUUCCGCUGAGGACUCUGACAAGACUGCCAUCGUAAGAUGUGAGGAAGGUGGGGAUGACGUCAAAUCAGCACGGCCCUUACGUCCGGGGCUACACACGUGUUACAAUGGGGGGUACAGAGGGCCGCUACCACGCGAGUGGAUGCCAAUCCCCAAAACCUCUCUCAGUUCGGACUGGAGUCUGCAACCCGACUCCACGAAGCUGGAUUCGCUAGUAAUCGCGCAUCAGCCACGGCGCGGUGAAUACGUUCCCGGGCCUUGUACACACCGCCCGUCAAGCCAUGGGAGCCGGGGGUACCUGAAGUGCGUAACCGCGAGGAGCGCCCUAGGGUAAAACUGGUGACUGGGGCU